rnacentral:rRNA from 1 species
AUUGAACGCUGGCGGCAGGCUCAACCCAUGCAAGUCGAGUGAGCGGCGGACGGGUGAGUACCGUCUGGGAAACUGCCUGAAGGAGGGGGAUAACUACUGGAAACGGUAGCUAAUACCGCAUACCCUCAGAUGUACCCAGAUGGGAUUAGCUAUUAGGUGGGGUACUGGCGCACCUAGCCGACGAUCCCUAGCUGGUCUGAGAGGAUGGCCAGCCACACUGUAACUUAGACACGGUCCUGACUCCAACGAGAGGCAGCAGUUGGGAAUAAUGCAGAAAGGGCUGAAGCCUGAGGCAGCCAUGCCGGGUGUGUGAAGAAGGAUGUCGGGUUGUAAAGCACUUUCAGCGAGGAGGCAUUACUCGCAGAAGAAGCACCGGCUAACUCCGUGCCAGCCGCCGCGGUAAUAC